GGGGGCGUAAUGGUUUCGACUGAAUAUUGAAAGCAUAAGUCGCAUGUAGAGGUUGAUCGGUUGGCCUCUUUAAAAAGCCGUUCAAACAAACUAAUUGCAGACUCUAACGAGCUCGCACUUGCUGCUUAAUUGACAGCGACGUCUAUCUCCCUGACGUCCACUAGGGGGGAAGGCGACACACCAGUGGACUGGCCAAAGAUCGGGUGACCGGGUCAAUGGUAAGACUAAACAGGUUAAUCGGAGGACCCAAGCCGCUGGCGAGCAACUGCCCUCUCAAAACCUCUAUCGUCCAGCUAAACAUGUAGACGCUUAAGCAGCAGAUAUCUAGGACGCGGGUUCGACUCCCGCCGCCUCCACCA
rnacentral:tmRNA from 1 species